AUUGAACGCUGGCGGCAGGCCUAACACAUGCAAGUCGAGCGAGCGGCGGACGGGUGAGUAAUGUAUGGGGACUGCCCGAUAGAGGGGGUUAACUAAUGGAAACGGUGGCUAAUACCGCAUACUAUCGGAUAACCCAUAUGGGAUUAGCUAGUAGGUGGGGUAAAGGCUAACCUAGGCGACGAUAUCUAACUGGUCUGAGAGGAUGAUCAGCCAACCUGGAACUGAGACACGGCCCAGACUCCUACGGAGGCAGCAGUGGGGAAUAUUGCACAAUGGGCGAAAGCCUGAUGCAGCCAUGCCGCGUGUGUGAAGAAGGCCUUAGGGUUGUAAAGUACUUUAAGCGGGGAGGCGUUACCCGCAGAAGAAGCACCGGCUAACUCCGUGCCAGCAGCCGCGGUAAUUC
rnacentral:rRNA from 1 species